rnacentral:rRNA from 1 species
AUUGAACGCUGGCGGCAUGCCUUACACAUGCAAGUCGAACGGUAACAGGUCUUCGGAUGCUGACGAGUGGCGAACGGGUGAGUAAUACAUCGGAACGUGCCUAGUAGUGGGGGAUAACUACUCGAAAGAGUGGCUAAUACCGCAUGAGAUCUACGGAUGAAAGCAGGGGAUCGCAAGACCUUGUGAUACUAUAGCGGCCGAUGGCAGAUUAGGUAGUUGGUGGGAUAAAAGCUUACCAAGCCGACGAUCUGUAGCUGGUCUGAGAGGACGAUCAGCCACACUGGGACUGAGACACGGCCCAGACUCCUACGGGAGGCAGCAGUGGGGAAUUUUGGACAAUGGGCGAAAGCCUGAUCCAGCAAUGCCGCGUGCAGGAUGAAGGCCUUCGGGUUGUAAACUGCUUUUGUACGGAACGAAAAGCCCCGGGUUAAUACCCUGGGGUCAUGACGGUACCGUAAGAAUAAGCACCGGCUAACUACGUGCCAGCAGCCGCAGUAA